GGUAAAACCCUGCAUUUGUGCCAUUGUGUUUAGUUAUUGUAGCAUUCUGUUAACUACAGAUUUAAAAUAUGAAAUUAAAAACAGUUUUUUUUAUUCCAGGAAAAUGGCCACAUGUCAAGGAGGGCUGCUGAGGUAGAGAGAGUCUCAGUGUAUUUGCCUUCAUUCACAGCAGCACAAAAGGAUGGGUCGCCCAUAUUCAAGAUAGUGGCAACAAGUUUGACAUUUAGUACACUGCUCCACAACCAGAUUCACAGAACAUCAAUGUUUUUGUAGCCCAUAUCCUAAAUCAAUUGAAUUCUGGUGUUGACAAUAUCUAUUCAUUCAUCCACCUUUGUGCCCACUCGCCCAUUUCUGUAUGCUUAAAGCCCUGACUGUCAACAAAUUUUGUUGGGUGUGUUCACCUGAGCUACUUUGCAAAAUAGAUGUACUGCAGCCUAAAAUAAAGAAGUUAAAGAGAGAGAACAUCUGUCUGAGGCAGUGCAUUAGUGCAGGUGAAGGUGGAGAAUGCAGAGACGCCCUGAAUUACUACCUAACUUUAUUUGUUUUUUUCCCCAUUUUCCAUUUAUUUCAUUUACAUUAGAAUUUAUAUAUAUAUUUUUUUCCAUUUUCCAUUGAUUAAUUUAAAUCAAUUGCUUGAUAAUAAUAAUAAUAACAUAUAAUAAAUACAAUAUAUUCCAACUGAUUUUACCUCAUAUUUACCUCCAUUACCUAUAAUGGAUAGAAAA